AGAACGAACGCUGGCGGCAUGCCUAAUACAUGCAAGUCGAACGAACUCUUCGGAGUUAGUGGCGCACGGGUGCGUAACGCGUGGGAAUCUGCCCUUGGGUUCGGAAUAACAGUUGGAAACGACUGCUAAUACCGGAUGAUGACGUAAGUCCAAAGAUUUAUCGCCCAAGGAUGAGCCCGCGUAGGAUUAGCUAGUUGGUGGGUAAAGCCUACCGAAGGCGACGAUCCUUAGCUGGUCUGAGAGGAUGAUCAGCCACACUGGGACUGAGACACGGCCCAGACUCCUACGGGAGGCAGCAGUAGGGAAUAUUGGAC
rnacentral:rRNA from 1 species